UUUUUUUUUUUUUUAUUUUAGAUUUUUUGCUUGGAUUUAUUGUAUUUUUUUUUUUUUUUUUUUGUUUGGAUUUCUCGUUUUUAUUAUAAUAAGUCAGUAACAUAAAUCAAUAAUAGAGUCCAUAUUUUUAAAGAAGUUAAUUGGCUAACUAACAUCAUCUUCCAAUUUGGAGACUCUAAUUCUUCUAAUCUGAUGUCACAUGUUAACAGAUAUUACAUCAUCAUCAUUAGAUAAUAUUCUUUUUCCAUCCAAUUCAUAAUACACUGUACAGUUUACUUACUGCAUAUGAUAUAUAUAAUAAAUUUGCAAUAGACCUAUGGCUGAUAUUUUUGUUGAAUUAAAAUGGCAUUUCAGGUGUGGGGCCUAAUACAGUUGCAUCAAUCCAAAACUGGCCCAGAUUCCAUCUGCUAUAUUGCUAAUAUCCUAAUGCCAAUUCUCCCCAGUGUUAUGUUAGUACUGCUAGUUCCCCUUGUGGAUCCUUUGGGACAGGCAUUGGGCCUAUUGCGGUUGUGUGGUAUUUUACGCGAGUAAGAAUGGCAGAGCAAGAAUUUCUGACACAGUAACUGAGAACAACAACAAUUUAAUCAAACAUGAAUCUUUUAUUGAGAGAGAGAGAAAAUACUAAUACAAAGAGGAUACAAAGACGUGAUGGAGGAUAAAUUCAUGGGUGAAGAGAACAAAUAGAGUUGUCUUUAUCUUAAGGCUGAUAAUGAUGCAUAAUGCACAACAAUCUUUAGUCCACUAGCACUUUUUCACAGAAUUCACUAGGUCAUCAGUAUGGAAGCUGUUAAGACAGACUCUUCAAUUACUAAACUUGCCAUCCAGAGGUAGCUGUUAAGACAGGCUCUCUCAGAGAUAGGCAACCAUCUGCUCGAUGUUUUGUAACUCACUCUCAAAAAUCGGCAACUGACUGACUUCUGUCCAAAUGUUUCAAAAGACUCCCUCUCUCUAUAAACUCUCUUCCCCUGGGAAAGAGACACUUAGAUCGUCUUUCACCUUUGUUAGAUUCCUUUUUCUACCGUUAUCACAUUACUUGCAUGUCACCCGAUUCUUUAUGAAAUCAUAUUUCUUAAUGAUUUCAUUGUUCUCCCUCUGUUGUGGAGGACAGAAUACAUUGGGCCAACUGGAA
rnacentral:lncRNA from 1 species